CAAGGGUCUGACGUUUCAGGGAAGGCAGAGCUCUGCCCUGGAAGAAGAUGCUACUGCUGGGUCUUCUCCUGUGCCUGGUGACAGCCCCCCAGGGUGUUCUGUCUGAAGUGCAGCUACAAGAGUCAGGCCCAGGAUUUUUGAAGCCCUCGCAGACACUCUCCCUCACCUGCGCUGUCUCUGGUUACUCCAUCACCAGUAGUAGCUGCUGGCACUGGAUCCGUCAGCCAACAGGAAAGGGGCUGGAGUGGAUCGGGCGCAUAUGUACUAGUGGUGACACGUACUAUAGCCCAACCCUAAAGAGCCGGACCUCCAUCUCCAGAGACACAUCCAAGAACCAGUUUUCCCUGCGACUGAGCUCUAUGACCACUGAGGACACAGCUGUGUAUUACUGUGCAGGAUACACAGUCAAGCAAGGCAUAUGUGUCUUCUCCAGAGUUGGGAAUGAGGCACCAACAGGACAGAAAGCACAGCAGCCAGUGGAAGCUCCCAGGGAUCACCUUCCAUCAGCUAGCAGAGCCAUGGUCAAUUCAGAUGGAGAAGAAAGCCUGGAUGAAGGUGAAGUUAUUGUCCAGUACCCUGAGCUCAGCAAUGAUUCUGUGGCCCCCGUGCAAAUCUGGAGGCUCUCACCCCAAAAGUAG